rnacentral:rRNA from 1 species
UAGAGUUUGAUCCUGGCUCAGGAUGACGCUAGCUACAGGCUUACACAUGCAAGUCGAGGGGCAGCAUGAAGUCAGCUUGCUGACUUUGAUGGCGACCGGCGCACGGGUGAGUAACGCGUAUCCACCUACCCCAUAGUAGGGGAUAGCCCGUAGAAAUGCGGAUUAAUACCCUAUGUUUUCCGAGGAGGACAUCUGACUUGGAACAAAGAUUCAUCGCUAUGGGAUGGGGAUGCGUCCGAUUAGCUUGUUGGCGGGGUGACGGCCCACCAAGGCGACGAUCGGUAGGGGUUCUGAGAGGAAGGUCCCCCACACUGGUACUGAGACACGGACCAGACUCCUACGGGAGGCAGCAGUGAGGAAUAUUGGUCAAUGGGCGGGAGCCUGAACCAGCCAAGUAGCGUGCAGGAGACGGCCCUACGGGUUGUAACUGCUUUUAUCAGGGAUAAAGUGCGGGACGCGUCCCUCAUUGCAGUACCUGAUGAUACGACUGGCUAUUCCGUGCCAGCAGCGCGGUAUACGAAAGUCCGGCGUUAUCCGGAUUAUUGGGGUUAAAGGGAGCGCAGCGGGUGCUUAGCGUGCUGUGAAUGUACCGGCUCCACCGUGACGUGCACCGACUGG